rnacentral:piRNA from 2 species
GGUCAAAACUCCCGUGCUGAUCAGUAGUG